GGAGGGCAUAGCUCAGUGGUAGAGCACGUGCUUAGCAUGCACGAGGUCCUGGGUUCAAUCCCCAGUCCCUCCA
rnacentral:tRNA from 1 species